GGGUGAUUAGCUCAGCUGGGAGAGCACCUNNCGGCGGUUCGAUCCCGUCAUCACCCACCA
rnacentral:tRNA from 1 species